UACGGAGGGGGCUAGCGUUAUUCGGAAUUAUUGGGCGUAAAGGGCGUGUAGGCGGCUUCGUAAGUCUCAUUGUGAAAGCCCUCGGCUCAACCGAGGAACCGCAUGAGAAACUGCGAGGCUUGAGUUCGGGAGAGGAGAGUGGAAUUCCCAGUGUAGCGGUGAAAUGCGUAGAUAUUGGGAGGAACACCGGUGGCGAAGGCGGCUCUCUGGACCGAUACUGACGCUGAGACGCGAAAGCCAGGGGAGCAAACGGG
rnacentral:rRNA from 1 species